rnacentral:rRNA from 1 species
GGUGCGUAACACGUAUGCAAUCUGCCCGGAACUGGAGGAUAGCUCCCCGAAAGGGGAAUUAACACUGCAUAAUAUCGUAGAGUGGCAUCACUCAGACUGAUUAAAUCUCAGGAGGUUUCGGAUGAGACAUGCGGAUGAUUAGCUAGUUGGUGAGGUAACGGCUCACCAAGGCGAUGAUCAAUAGGGGAACUGAGAGGUUGAUCCCCCAAACUGGCACUGAGAUACUGGGCCAGACUCCUACGGGAGGCAGCAGUAGGGAAUAUUGGACAAUGGUUGCAAGACUGAUCCAGCCAUGCCCGUCGUACAGGAAGAAGGCUUUCUGAGUUGUAAACUGCUUUUGCCAGGGGAUAAAAAGUCCCUUGCGGGGAAAAAUUUGAAGGUACCUGGUGAAUAAGCCACGGUAACUUAACGUGCCAGCAGCCGGGG